rnacentral:rRNA from 1 species
UUUUUUAUGUAGUUUGUGCAUAGAGGGGUUACUCUCACAAAGAAUAAUUUGGGAAAACGAAGAUGGCAAGGGAAUAGACGAUGUUGUUUCUAUGGUCAAGAUGAAACAAUUCAUCAUUUGUUUAUUUCCUGUCUGUUUCACACUUUCCUAUGGCGUACAAUUCAUGUGACUUUUAACCUGCUUCCACCUACUAGUAUAGCAAAUUUCUUUGGAAACUGGUUGGGAGUUAAGCCAAAUAUCCAGGACGGAGUAUGUGCUUCACUUCGAGCUUUAUGA